AUUGAACGCUGGCGGCAGGCCUAACACAUGCAAGUCGAACGAGUGGCGGACGGGUGAGUAGUGUAUGGGAAACUGCCUGAUGGAGGGGGAUAACUACUGGAAACGGUAGCUAAUACCGCAUACCAUCAGAUGAGACCAGAUGGGAUUAGGUAGUUGGUGGGGGAACGGCUCACCAAGGCGCCGCACCCUAUCUGGUCUGAGAGGAUGACCAGUCACACUGGAACUGAGACACGGUCCAGACUCCUAUGGGAGGCAGCAGUGGGGAAUAUUGCCCAAUGGGCGCAAGCCGGAUGCAGCCAUGCCGCGUGUAUGAAGAAGGCCUUCGGGUUGUAAAGUACGUUCAGCGGGGAGGCGUUACCCGCAGAAGAAGCACCGGGUAACGCCGUGCCAGACGCCGGGGUAAUAC
rnacentral:rRNA from 1 species